UCCGGAGGGUGCAAGCGUUAUCCGGAUUCACUGGGUUUAAAGGGUGCGUAGGCGGGCAGGUAAGUCAGUGGUGAAAUCUCCGGGCUUAACCCGGAAACUGCCGUUGAUACUAUCUGUCUUGAAUAUAGUGGAGGUGAGCGGAAUAUGUCAUGUAGCGGUGAAAUGCUUAGAUAUGACAUAGAACACCCAUUGCGAAGGCAGCUCGCUACACUAUCAUUGACGCUGAGGCACGAAAGCGUGGGGAUCAAACAGG
rnacentral:rRNA from 1 species